GUGCUUGCUUCAGCAGCACAUAUACUACAAUUGGAAUGACACAGAUUAGCAUGGCCCCUGCUCAAGGAUGACACAUAAAUUCAUCAAGCGUUCAAUAUAAAA
rnacentral:snRNA from 1 species